rnacentral:rRNA from 1 species
AAUCAAACCGGGAGAUAGCUGGUUCUCCCCGAAAGCUAUUUAGGUAGCGCCUCGUGAAUUCAUCUCCGGGGGUAGAGCACUGUUUCGGCAAGGGGGUCAUCCCGACUUACCAACCCGAUGCAAACUGCGAAUACCGGAGAAUGUUAUCACGGGAGACACACGGCGGGUGCUAACGUCCGUCGUGAAGAGGGAAACAACCCAGACCGCCAGCUAAGGUCCCAAAGUCAUGGUUAAGUGGGAAACGAUGUGGGAAGGCCCAGACAGCCAGGAUGUUGGCUUAGAAGCAGCCAUCAUUUAAAGAAAGCGUAAUAGCUCACUGGUCGAGUCGGCCUGCGCGGAAGAUGUAACGGGGCUAAACCAUGCACCGAAGCUGCGGCAGCGACACUAUGUGUUGUUGGGUAGGGGAGCGUUCUGUAAGCCUGUGAAGGUGGCCUGUGAGGGUUGCUGGAGGUAUCAGAAGUGCGAAUGCUGACAUAAGUAACGAUAAAGCGGGUGAAAAGCCCGCUCGCCGGAAGACCAAGGGUUCCUGUCCAACGUUAAUCGGGGCAGGGUGAGUCGACCCCUAAGGCGAGGCCGAAAGGCGUAGUCGAUGGGAAACAGGUUAAUAUUCCUGUACUUGGUGUUACUGCGAAGGGGGGACGGAGAAGGCUAUGUUGGCCGGGCGACGGUUGUCCCGGUUUAAGCGUGUAGGCUGGUUUUCCAGGCAAAUCCGGAAAAUCAAGGCUGAGGCGUGAUGACGAGGCACUACGGUGCUGAAGCGACAAAUGCCCUGCUUCCAGGAAAAGCCUCUAAGCAUCAGGUAACAUCAAAUCGUACCCCAAACCGACACAGGUGGUCAGGUAGAGAAUACCAAGGCGCUUGAGAGAACUCGGGUGAAGGAACUAGGCAAAAUGGUGCCGUAACUUCGGGAGAAGGCACGCUGAUAUGUAGGUGAAGCGACUUGCUCGUGGAGCUGAAAUCAGUCGAAGAUACCAGCUGGCUGCAACUGUUUAUUAAAAACACAGCACUGUGCAAACACGAAAGUGGACGUAUACGGUGUGACGCCUGCCCGGUGCCGGAAGGUUAAUUGAUGGGGUUAGCGGUAACGCGAAGCUCUUGAUCGAAGCCCCGGUAAACGGCGGCCGUAACUAUAACGGUCCUAAGGUAGCGAAAUUCCUUGUCGGGUAAGUUCCGACCUGCACGAAUGGCGUAAUGAUGGCCAGGCUGUCUCCACCCGAGACUCAGUGAAAUUGAACUCGCUGUGAAGAUGCAGUGUACCCGCGGCAAGACGGAAAGACCCCGUGAACCUUUACUAUAGCUUGACACUGAACAUUGAGCCUUGAUGUGUAGGAUAGGUGGGAGGCUUUGAAGUGUGGACGCCAGUCUGCAUGGAGCCGACCUUGAAAUACCACCCUUUAAUGUUUGAUGUUCUAACGUGGGCCCCUUACCGGGGUUGCGGACAGUGUCUGGUGGGUAGUUUGACUGGGGCGGUCUCCUCCUAAAGAGUAACGGAGGAGCACGAAGGUUGGCUAAUCCUGGUCGGACAUCAGGAGGUUAGUGCAAUGGCAUAAGCCAGCUUGACUGCGAGCGUGACGGCGCGAGCAGGUGCGAAAGCAGGUCAUAGUGAUCCGGUGGUUCUGAAUGGAAGGGCCAUCGCUCAACGGAUAAAAGGUACUCCGGGGAUAACAGGCUGAUACCGCCCAAGAGUUCAUAUCGACGGCGGUGUUUGGCACCUCGAUGUCGGCUCAUCACAUCCUGGGGCUGAAGUAGGUCCCAAGGGUAUGGCUGUUCGCCAUUUAAAGUGGUACGCGAGCUGGGUUUAGAACGUCGUGAGACAGUUCGGUCCCUAUCUGCCGUGGGCGCUGGAGAACUGAGGGGGGCUGCUCCUAGUACGAGAGGACCGGAGUGGACGCAUCACUGGUGUUCGGGUUGUCAUGCCAAUGGCACUGCCCGGUAGCUAAAUGCGGAAGAGAUAAGUGCUGAAAGCAUCUAAGCACGAAACUUGCCCCGAGAUGAGUUCUCCCUGACUCCUUGAGAGUCCUGAAGGAACGUUGAAGACGACGACGUUGAUAGGCCGGGUGUGUAAGCGCAGCGAUGCGUUGAGCUAACCGGUACUAAUGAACCGUGAGGCUUAACCUUACAACGCCGAAG